UUCCGCCGCCGCUCGCCGCAGGAACGGGUGCAUAAGAGCUGCGCUCUAGAAGAAAUGUCGCAGUUUCGCUCGAAUGUAGAAGCAUUUAUUGCGAUAGCAAUUAGGCAGCAAUAAUAAGUAGGGAUAGUAGUUUUAUUGGCCGUGUAAACUUGUAAACAUUCGCUUAGUUACUAAAUUAACGCGCAUGGUGUCACGCGUGCACACUCUAACAUGAACGCAUCUCACUCCAUGACUACGGACACUCGCUGUCAGCGUGAGGAAGAGUGACAUCGAACGAGUUAACUUUUCUGCUGCCCGUCGGUUCAACGCGAACUAAGCGGCAGAAAUACAGCGCACACGAAGCUAACAGCCACCGGGCCACCUAGACACUGCACCCAUCGCAGAGGGCCUUCAAAAUAGGACCUGCGCGGCAGCGCUCAACCGCGCCAUUGCUCAGCCGCUGCCGGAGUGGGAAGCCUCCGCCUCCCCUCUCCCCCACUUGUGUCUUGCGUGCGAUGAAAGACGGCGCUUACACCCGCCUUCCCCCUUGCGCGCGCGAGCCACCAACCUCGGCUCACCCUUGCACCCAGAGCACAUGACGCGAGGUCACGAUUUUGUCCCACUUGUACUUUAAGGAAACAUCACGGCAACGGGGGAAAUGCGUCCGAAGUGUCUAUACCGCACUUAUAGAAAUUUAAUUGCUGUCGCAGUAAAAUUUUAAUACAACCCUACGUCAUCACGUACCAGGUCGCCGGUAUGCACAGCGUGGCGGAAGCAAUGACCCCGAAAGCAGCCCCAAUGUCACCUGUCGCCAUACGGGGUGGAAGAGCAGGGAAGCAGCGCCCAUUGCCUGAAGAGAAAAAGGCUCCGCUCAUGUCUUCGUCGCAAAGGAAAGCUUCGCAAGCAGCGGUGGCCGGCUCCUUAAUACAGCAAGACCGAAGUAUCCAAGCAAAAUUUUGGCAACCUCGGGCACAUAGACAACGCCAGUACAGCGCUUAUAGUUGAAAACAGCAUCUGUGGAUGUUAUUUGUUUUGCAUCUGUCUUGACCAUAAGCUUUCUUCGCUGGGAUAGCCUUACUGUCUGGCUGACGCCGUCUCUGCUUUUCUUGCUGCUGUGGGUCAGGCUUUAUCGCGAUACGGCAAGCGGCGUGCUGUCAUUCCUUCGAUUCAGUCUUUGUGUGGCGUGCGCGUUGGCUAUACUGUGGAUGAGUGCGCUCUGCCGUGGUGGGACCAGCGCCUGAAUAUUUCACGCCGACCUCGGUCUCUGCAACAUGGACGUGAAAUGUAUUCAAGGCUUACGGACGAGCGUGCCUCCCAGAACCGCCCCCAAGCGUGUAAAAGGAAUGGGCCGACUCGUUGGCAGCCCCUUCUUUUACAAGCUUUCCUGAAGUUUUAGAGGCAACCGAAGCCGAAGAUACAUGAAUCGACCCUUUGACAGACAAGCUGAUAACAAGCCGCAUCCUACUUUCCCCUCCCCACUUCCGCGCAUGCGGCACCCUCUCUCGGUCACGUUCGGCUGGCGGCAGAAGCCAGCGGAGCCGUGGACUUGGGGCGCCACCCAUCAAGCUCCUAAUCCCCUAUCCCCCUUUCCCCAAUUCAAUAAAGUUAUUCUCUCUCUCACGAAGCUAUGAAAAGAGAACCAAAUAAGGAGACAAGGCUCCUCUUGAUGCCCAACCACGAGGUGUGUCGUCUUGCUCAGAUGCCCACGAUACAGGUCUUGCAGACGUUGAGCUAGUUGCAAACUGCAACAGUAUUGGUUAUUUUCAGAGCUGCAAUAAUAAAGGAAUUUAACGUGCCUUGCAUUAUUUGCAAAAUUAUAUACAAUUGCACGCAUACA